rnacentral:snoRNA from 1 species
GCAUGAUGAGAUAUGUUGUCGCCCCAGGCUUAGGAGGUUCGACAAGCCUCCUGUGCUGAUUGACUUCGUCCUGUGC